rnacentral:rRNA from 1 species
GACGAACGCUGGCGGCGUGCUUAACACAUGCAAGUCGAACGGUAAGGCCUCUUCGGGGGUACACGAGUGGCGAACGGGUGAGUAACACGUGAGUAACCUGCCCUUGACUUUGGGAUAACAUCUGGAAACAGGUGCUAAUACCGGAUAUGAGCUUGUCCUGCAUGGGAUGGGUUGGAAAGCUCCGGCGGUCAUGGAUGGACUCGCGGCCUAUCAGCUUGUUGGUGAGGUAAUGGCUCACCAAGGCUUCGACGGGUCGCCGGCCUGAGAGGGCGACCGGACACAUUGGGACUGUGUUACGGCCCAGACUACUACGGGAGGCAGCAGUGGGGAAUAUUGCACAAUGGGCGGAAGACUGAGGCAGCAACGCCGCGUGCGGGAUGACGGCCUUCGGGUUGUAAACCGCUUUCAGCAGGGACGAAGCGUGAGUGACGGUACCUGCAGAAGAAGCACCGGCUAACUACGUGCCAGCAGCCGCAGUAAAAC